UACGGGGGGAGCAAGCGUUGUUCGGAUUUACUGGGCGUAAAGGGCGCGUAGGCGGUCAGCACAAGUCAGUUGUGAAAUCUCCGGGCUUAACUCGGAAAGGUCAACUGAUACUGUGCGACUAGAGUGCGGAAGGGGGCAACUGGAAUUCUCGGUGUAGCGGUGAAAUGCGUAGAUAUCGUAAGGAAGACCAGUGGCGAAGGCGGGUCUCUGGACAGUUCCUGACGCUGAGGCACGAAGGCCAGGGGAGCAAACGGG
rnacentral:rRNA from 1 species